GUGCAGAAGGCCGCGCUAGCCGGCUCUUCAGCAGCGAGUGCAGUUUGCUCCCCCGCGGCCGCAGGUCUCCUGGUUGCGCCGCGUUCAGCUGCUCCCGAACAACUUUACUGCCGGCCCAGAGGCCCCAGGGCGUCGCAGCGCCGCGUGCGGCCCACUCACGGGCCGGCAGGAUGGACUCCAACACUGCUCCGCUGGGCCCCUCCUGCCCACAGCCCCCGCCAGCACCGCAGCCCCAGGCGCGUUCCCGACUCAAUGCCACGGCCUCGUUGGAGCAGGAGAGGAGCGAAAGGCCCCGAGCACCCGGACCCCAGGCUGGCCCUGGCCCUAGUGUUAGAGACGCAGCGGCCCCCGCUGAACCCCAGGCCCAGCAUACCAGGAGCCGGGAACGAGCAGACGGCACCGGGCCUACAAAGGGAGACAUGGAAAUCCCCUUUGAAGAAGUUCUGGAGAGGGCCAAGGCCGGGGACCCCAAGGCACAGACUGAGGUGAGGACUGCGGUGCCGGCGGGGACUUCGGGACACGGCCCCCAGCACAACAGGCCUGGCCACGAGCUCCACAGCCCACAGAGAAGUGUCGGUGCCUGAGAU
rnacentral:sRNA from 1 species